GUGAGGAAUAUUGGUCAAUGGGCGGGAGCCUGAACCAGCCAAGUCGCGUGAAGGAAGAAGGAUCUAUGGUUCGUAAACUUCUUUUGCUGGGGAAUAAAGUGCAGGACGUGUCCUGUUUUGUAUGUACCCUGAGAAUAAGGAUCGGCUAACUCCGUGCCAGCAGCCGCGGUAAUACGGAGGAUCCGAGCGUUAUCCGGAUUUAUUGGGUUUAAAGGGUGCGUAGGUGGUUUGAUAAGUCAGCGGUGAAAGUUUGCAGCUUAACUGUAAAAAUGCCGUUGAAACUGUCGGACUUGAGUGUAAAUGAGGUAGGCGGAAUGCGUGGUGUAGCGGUGAAAUGCAUAGAUAUCACGCAGAACUCCGAUUGCGAAGGCAGCUUACUAAGCUACAACUGACACUGAAGCACGAAAGCGUGGGGAUCAAACAGGAUUAGAUACCCUAGUAGUCC
rnacentral:rRNA from 1 species